CUCUGUCUGUUUAUCCAUCAAACACUAUGAACUGAAAAACAAUCAGGGAGUCCUGGCCACUGUGAUUCGCUUCUGCUUUGCUUGCUCUUUGGGAUUUAGGCACGUAACUGGUUUUCUGAGGAUCGAGCAAUGGAAACUAGGCUAAAUCAAGGUACAAACAACAUUAUUUACUAGAUAAAUACAGGUUCUCAUUAAAUAACAGACAUGGCCAUAUAAAAUGCUAUUUAACUGAAUUAAAUUAGGAUAUUUGUCUGCUAUGAAAAAGGUAUUGGAAACUUAAUCCCUACCAUGUAGAAAGCUGGUGCAGAGGGG
rnacentral:lncRNA from 1 species